rnacentral:lncRNA from 1 species
AACUUAAACCAAAACCAUUCCUUCCUAUUAAAGCAGUACUAGUAUAAGCUUAUAAGCCAGCUUAGUCUGUCAGACCUCUAACUAUUAGUAUUUUACAUGCACACACACACACACACACACAUAUAUAUACCCGUGCUAUGUUACUACAAAGUCAUCAGAGACUCAAAAGCACCACCACUACUGAAUACUGAUGGAUGGAUAUAUGAUAUAUCAAUCCUCAUCCGGUGGUUCUGAACUUGGACUCGUCAAUGGGGGUUCCUCCUUCCGCCGCACGCUCUCCCCCGGACUUGUCAGUGGCGCUCAGCCCACCCUUCUUCCCCAUCUCCUGGUACCCUUCUGUCCCUAACUGCUCCCUCCUCGCUUGUCCUCCUCGGCUCCUCCCUAUUCCAAAGUUCAUGUGUAUAUAUAUAUAUAUCAAACACAGCACAACGUGAUCGAAGAAGAAAUACAAAAAAGGAAACACAAACUGAACUGAACUAGCGUGUGUGUGUGCGUGUGUGCGCACUUAAUUAAUGGUGCUGGCACAGGGAUAGGCACGUACCUUCUGCAAGGUGCUCUUGAGCCUCUAGACUUUUGCCUCCGGUACCACCGGGGACUACAACCUCUCCUUCCCUAGCCUUCCUGUCCAGCUCAGCUCUGCCUUGCUCCGAAGACAUGAUUCUAUAUAUUAUCUCCCAAUCAGCUAAUUUCUCUGUCUCUCCUUUAGAGUCUAAACCGGCCGAAACAGAAACUGGAUGCACUUUUCUUUCAACAACUGAUAACCACCGGGACCCCAGUGUAAUUUGCACUCCUGUCGGGUCCAGAUUUAUAGCACAGGGGCAGGAAUAAAUUCCGGUGAUGAGCAAGCUCGUUGAGGGACGCGUGGUUGGCUGACGGGGCUGAAUCCCAGACAACGGAGGUUUACACCAAAGGAGAGGGAUGGUUAAAGAGUGACACGAGGCUAUAGCAGUCUCCUUUCUCCACCGCUCCACACGUGUGCUACUUACAACUCUUUUUUUUUUUUUUUUUAUGGCAACAACAUUUCCACAAUUUAAUUUAAAAGGAGGGGAGUUUGAAGAAAUUAUGUAUAAAGGGUUAGUAGAUAUAAGAAUCUGAUUAGAUCCUUGUUGGGAGACUCACCCACCACAGUCAGGUGUGUGACCCGGAUCGUCCAACGGAUUAGUCAGGACAAAUCCCUGGAUACCGUGGCAGGCAACUAAAAAAAAAAAACUAAGAACAUUAAUUACACGAAAGAAGAAGCAAAAUGACAAACAGGUAUAAUGAAAAGAUCAAUUAAUAGCAUAUAUUUGGAGAUUAAUUGCAAGUCUUACGGUCUUUCAUUAAGAUGUAAGCCGGACGAUUUGGAGGGGCGGCAACGUUGAUUUGAUUACUCUCAAAUAACUUGCUGUUGCCUUAUUUGUUUCAGAAAUGAUUAUUAAUUUUUAUGAAUAUAUUAAUUUUAUUUUUACAAAAUAGAUAAAUUAUUCAUGAAAAAAUACAAUUUUUAUUAGUAUUUUUUCUUUAAUACAAUUGUAGUUGAUUUGGUAGUUACAAUGUUUGGAUUGUAAGUUAUUUGCCCAAAUAUAUUUGCUUACAUCGCCAUUAUAAUUUCCAAUACACCUUUUUAUCUUCCCAAUUACCUUUUUAUCUCACAUACAUCACAUCACAAAAAGUACUACAGUAAAAAUAUCUCAAAUAACUUACAAUCCAAACACGAAGGAGUUAUGAGAGAUUAUAUUAACAAAUGUGAUUAUACUAUCAGGGUAAAAAUUAAAUAUUUUAGGGGCAAAACUGAAAGUUAAAAAAAUGGCAUAAAAUGUUUACUCCAAUCGCCUAUGAUAGUUAAGAGUAGAAGAGCUGCUUAGAGCUCAAACGAAAAGGUCUUAGCCACUGACGGCAAGGACUAAGGGGUGGGGACAAUUGUUCUUGGCCAUGAACGUGUUAACAUCAAUUUUGUAGGAGGAUUAAUCACAAAAGCUUCCUUCUAAAUAUAGGCAAGAUUUAUAUAUAGUUUACCCUCUAAAUUUGGUUUUUUCUCACUCAACUCCCUUAGUGACAAAACUAACCCUUUGUUAUUGUAAGUUUUUAUUUUUUUUUUUCCUUUCUUUCUCUUUUCUCAACACAUACAUACAUAUAUAUAUGUAUGUGUGUGUGUGUGUGUAUUCUUCAUGUAGGUAGAGAUUGAACAUCCUAAAUUUAGUUUGGAUGAAUUAUGACAAAUAAACGAAAUAUGAAUUAAUGUAGAAUCACUAUAUGCUAAAAAAUAAUAAUAGAACAUAAAUUCAAUUAAAAUUUGAUUCUUUACAAAAAUUUUAGAAAAGGAAACUAAUGCAUAGGGGAAUUUUUUUUGAUGCUCAAGAAAAAGAAUUUGAAAAAAAAAAAAAGGAAAACAAGUUUGACAAAAAGAAAAGAGGGGAAAAAAUCAACAUAAUAGAUAUACGUUGAUAAUUGAGAUAUACGUUGAGGGGAUAAAUUGUGAUUAACCCAUUUUAGAAUUUUAAUUAGUCUGGAGAACAAAUUAAAUUGUAUGUCUUAAUUAAAUGGAAUUGGUAAUUUAAAUCAAGGUCCAAUUUAAUUUUUGGCUGAGCAUUAAUUCGUUCGUUAAGAAAACACGCGAAUGAGAACCAAAAUUCCUUGCGUAUUUUUGUUUAUGCAGGUAGCAUAUGCCGGCCGGAAAAAGAAAAAUAAAAAAGAUUUGCCUGAAAAUAAUAAUAAUAAUAAUAAAUAAUAAUUGGGGGAUUCUUAUUCAUCAAUCUGACAAUGGUGCACAUCCAACUCAUAAAAUAAACACACGGGAUCCUUAGUGUCACUUUUCCGGUGACAAUUCAGUAUCACUUUUAUAUUUAUGCCAAGGAUUCCAACUGUAAAAUAAUAGGAUUGAUGAUCAUGAGAUGAGAUUAAUCCAGGAGUAGGACUAGGAGAAGAUGUAACGCUACUGCUGAAAAAUCCCACAUCAACAAUUCAACAUACGAAUUUUUAGUACCUAUAUAGUCACACAACUAAGUUGAACGUAACAGGAAGUCCAAGCCAUGAACUAGAAACGAACAAAGAAAGAAUGAAAGAUGCCACGCGCGGAAGAAGAAAAUGGUGUCGUCGUCAUCAUCUGUGUGUCGGUGGUCGUCCGUCAAAAGCAGGCGUCCAACACACAACAGCAACACAAGGCCGCACAGCUGCACCACCACCAACAUCCGUUCACAAUAAUUAAUAUACAUAUGCUUCAAUUAAUGCCCCAACCAUAUUCAAUUAUCAAUCAAUCAAAAUAUCAUUUAAGCUCGCAUUCUUUUAGCCUAUUAAAUAGAUAGCAUACAAGAAUAAAAAAAAGUAGGGAUAAAAUUGCACUAUAAUUUCUAAAAUUGCACUAAUUAACCUCCCCAACGAGGAAAUUGGACUUAUUACUAACAAUAAAUUGUAUGAUUUUACUUUUAUACCCUAACUAAUUGCAGAAACUUAAAAUAAAUUGAGUGACUAAUUAAAGUAGAUUACAUGUAAGGUUUAGCAUCAUUAGCCAUUGUAAGCAAAACUAAGGUACGGUGCCAAUUGAGGGGGGAGAAAACACAUACAUGUGCCAAUAUUAUGUUCUUCAAACCGGUCAAUUUAAAUUUAAUUUUAUACAACCGACCACUAAACAAUUCUGGAGUUUCAACUAAAGUAAGUAUAAAAAAAACUUGCACAAAUGUAUCUGAAAUUAAGAAAUCAAGAAAGUCUAAGGUAGUAGGAUUUUUCCUUUGAUUCCUCAAUUCUUGUAGUCAAAAUCCAAUCCAGUUUUUUUUUCCCCCUCCUCUACCCUAAAAAAGAGAUUAAGGUUCCUUUUUGUUUAGAUCAAAGUCUAAAGAAUCCCGUGACUACUACUACUACUACACGGCACCCGCAGAAAAAAGUCAAACUAGAUAUAUAAGAGGGGUAAUGGUCUGAAAAAAAGAAGACUGACCAGCCCUUCCAGAAGCCAUCGUGUCUGGGCGUAGUUUUGCCGGGUGCCGGAGCGGAAUCGGAGACUUGAGCCGCGUCUCUGACGGGAUAUCCGGCAGGCGGUGCUGGAGGGGUGUAAGCAGGGGGUUGUGGCUGUGCUUGUGCUCCUGGGUAGGGAUAUGCCACUGCAUGCAACCAAAUCAAAUAUCGCAUUCACAUAAACAACUAAUAGUAGUGGUAGCAGUAGUAAGAAUCAUCAAACAGACCAAAACUAUGAUGGAUGAAGCGCAAACGGAACGUACCUGGAGCCUGGUUUUGGUUGUAGCUGCUCAUGAUGGUGUUGAAUGGAAUAGGGAUGGAAUCAGUUAAUUUGAAUGGAGGAGAAUAUGAGAUGGGACAAUAUAUAGAAGAUACAAUACAAGAUUGGAUUGGAUGGAGGAGUAGAUUUCUAUAUAUAUAUAUAGUAAUCAAUGUUUAGGACAUAGGCGAGGGGAGAAAGCAGGUGGAAGAAGGAAGGUGGAGUAGUUAAAAUAAGAUGACGGACUUAACAAGCAAGCAAACAACGCAACAAAGGGAAAAGGGUCGGCGCCAACACCGCGUCAAUGUAUUAUAUCCAGAAGCAAUGACAUUAUCCAGGAAGGAAGGAAGGAAGGUUUUAUUUUAUGAUAAAAAACGUGGGGCUGCUGGUCCUUAAUAAAUUAGGUGAACCCUCCCUUUCCACACUUGAUAUUUUUCCGCCCGGUUCCCUCCCUUUUCUUCCUUCCUUCCAAGUUUCAACAAUUUCCUCGUUAUCUCUCGUCAUCAAAUACACCCCACCAAUAAUAAUAACAAAGAUAAGAAUAAGAUCCCAUGUAGAGAUCCCGCCCGCCUCCAUUUUUGCCCUUCUAUUUAUUACAUACACCCCUUCCCCCCCCCCCCCCCCCUAAAAAAAAAAACAAUGCAAUUUCACCUAAAAACAAUAGUAAAAAAAAAAAAAAAACACCACAUAUGCGAUCUUGUGUCAUAAUAAAAGUCUAAGCAGAAUUGAUUAUUCAUUGGUCAUGGUUUCUGAUUGCCCCAUUUGACACGGUUCAUGUUUGCUUCCCAUUUGACACGGUUCAUAUUUGCUUCCCAUUUGACACGGUCAUUGUCCAGUGUCGUCCAUUCUCUUCUACAUUCCCACCACUUGGGUGACAUUUAACUUGCCACUGGCCAUUUGGUCGUGUUCGGUGUGGAGUGAGGCCUCUUCUCCCGGACCGCAGGGAAUUAGUCGGGCCCCGUAAGGAUUGAUCCGGAUACCCCUGUGUCGACAAAAAAAAAAAAUAAAAAAUUAUAACUUUGUUUAUUAGUCCCUCUAAUUAAGCAUAUCCAUUUUGAUACGAUUCCUAAAACUAAUUGGAGAUCGACUUUUAAUUCCCACACUAUCUCAAAUUGAUUUUCUUUCCAGAAGAGAAAACAACACGCAAAAAAAUAUAUCAUCAAUUUGACCGCUUACUCAAUUGCCAUCUAUUUGGCUGAGUCAUUCCUUACCAAAAAGAUCACAGAAUAGUUUUAGUUCAACCCCCUAAAUUUUUAUUCUUUUAACCAUUUCCAAACUGACACUUGGACCAACUUAAUAUAUCUGUCCACCAGUCUGCAUAUAGAUUUUUCUUUAGCUGGGGUCGUUUGUGCUUCAAUCUGUUUUUGUUUUUUUUGUACAAUAGGAGGGUUCAGAGGCCCUUAAAAGACACACUAAUCUAGAAACCGAAACACCCUCAACAUCCCACUAACUAAGGAAUCCCUUUAAACAAACCGAAUACUUCUAGUGUUCAAAUUUAUUUGAUUAUUUUUGAUGAUUUUAAAUUUUCUUUAAGUUCGACUUGCUUACUUUUCCAAUCGAGUUCGAACGAGCUUUUUAUCGAGUUGAAUUUGAGUCGAGCUCCAAACUGUAGUCGAGCUCAAAUUACUAGAACUUUUUAUAUUUAAAUUUCACUCAUAUUUUAAUCGAGCAUAACUUGAUUCGAGCUCUAAUACCUUGAAUUUUUACAUGUAUGUUUUACAUAUAUGCUGAUUAAGUCGAGUUUGGAUUGAACUUGAAAAAUUAUCAAAUACAAAUUGUUAUUCAAAUUUAGUUUGAUUAACAAUUUGUAUUUGAUUAACAGACGAUUAAAAUUUAAACGAACUUUUAUCAAAUCGAGAUGAAUUUGAGCACUGGGUAAUUAUUUAGUUCGUCUUUCAAUCUUAUAUCGGCCAAUUGAACUUCAAAAGUCUAGGCUGCUUGAUAAGACGUGUAAAACAACUAAAUUAUGUCCCACUUCUAUUGAUGUAAACCGUGUUCAGUGUUGGGACAAUUGUUGAAGUCCAAGCGUUUCUUUUAGCUGCUUGCGUUGCUACAAUUUUUAAAUUUUAACCAAAAAAAAAAAAAAUAGACUCCAAAAGUUGUCGCUGAAAUGUUCAAUGCAAUUUUAUGAUAUGAAGGAACAGCCAAGAUUGACUAGACUGAUUCAAAUCCAUAAUGUAGUAAUUAAUCGAAAACCUAAUCGAAAUUGUCUAAAAAAAAAUAAUAAUAAAAGCUAGUGUAAGGGCUUCUUCUAAAAGUGCCAACUCCUUUUGAACCGAAACCCACUUAUGAAACUUAACUCAAUUAAAAGUUAUAAAUUUCAAAAAAGGUAAUUCGUUGUGAAAUUUUUAAACAUUUUUGUAGAUCCUUUUCCAAUUGAUUUGAGAAAAGUACCCACAUGAUCAAAAUACGCCACCAAUUUUGUGUUAACUUGGACAUGUGAAACUCGAUAUCAGCCAACCGACCAUCUGUUUGGUGUUCUUAGAUUUAGUGGGUGCCUUUGUCCUGGCCAGUUUCGAUGUGGGUAUACCAUCCGUGGCAGCGGUUUAAGAGGACCACACGAAGACGGCCGGCGAAACUCGCGAUGGCCGCGGGCAAGCAGGAGAAUGAUGGCUGCUAAAUCGGCAUUCGACAAACACGUCAGCUGGCGCGACAAGGAGAACGAUGGCAUGACAUUAUUGUGUUGUUUGUUAGUAGCAAGAGAGUAUCACACGGGGCUUGGAUAAACCUCCACCGGAUGGACAACAAAGGUCGAAAAGUUGACUGAUUUUUUUAGCUGGGCAUUUCGUUAAAAUAACACACGAUGAAAACCAAAAAUGUUUUGUGCCACUUCCAAUUGGCAACGUUCAUGGUGGUGUUGAUCGAGAAUGUAGUCCCAAUCCUUGUAUUUUUGUUUAGGGCAAAUUCCACUUUACCCCCCUGUAAUUUAGUGUUUUUUACAUAACCCCCUUAUGGUUUCAAAAACUAUACAUAACCCUCUCAUGAUUUGAAUUAAAGUGUCAAAGUGACGGGAAUGAUCAUUCGUAACGGAGUCAUCCAAAAUGUCAAAAAUACCCUUAUGUAAAGUUGAAAAUUAUUUAUUAACCAAGGGAGGUUAUGUGUAUAUUUUGAAAACUAUAAAGGGGUUAUAUGGUAAAAUAUUAAAUCAUAAGAGGGUUAUAUGGUAAAACAUAAAAAUUAUACGGGGUUAGUGUGUUAUGUAUUUAUAAGGGUAAUUUUGACAUUUUUAAAAGUUCCGUUACGAAUGAUUAUUUUCGUUACUUUGACACUUUAAUCCAAAUCAUGAGGGGGUUAUGUAUAGUUUUUGAAACCAUAGGAAAAGUUAUGUAAAAAAAACACUAAACUACAGGAGGGUAAAAUAUAAUUUGCCCUUUUGUUUGUUUAUGCGGGUAGCAUAUGCGGGCGAAAGAAAAAAUAGUAAAAGAUCGGCCUGACAAUAAUAAUAACAAUUAACAGAGAAGACCAUCGAGUACUAGUUUCAUGGGAUUCUUACUCAUCAAUCUGACAAUGGUGCACGUCCAACCCAUACAAUAACAAUACCAAUAAGAUCAAUCCUCAUGAGAUGAGAUUAAUCCAGGAGUAGGACUAGGAGAAGAUGUAAUGCUACUACUGAAAAAUCCCACAUCAACAUACGAAUUUUAGUACCUAGUCACACAAUUAAGUUGAACGUAAAGGAAGUCCAAGCCAUGAACUAGAAACAAACAAAGAAAGAUGCUACUGCACAAGAAAUGGCACGAGCGGAAGAAGAAAUGGUGGUGUCGUCUCUGCGGUUUUGGGUCGUCAACCGAAACAGCAACAGCAGCACGCACAGCUGCACCAACAUCCGUUCACAAUAUAUGUUUCAAUUAAUACCCCAACCAUCAAUUAUCAAUCAAUAUCAUUUACUAUUACACACACACACGCACUUAAUUUUACUACUAACCUUUUACUUUUCUAGUUAACGAGUUCUUUUUUGUCACUCUUUUUUUUUCCCUUAUUUCCUUUUGUUUAGAUCAAAGUCUAAAGAAUCCCGUGACUACUACAUAGCACCCGCAGAAAAAGUCAAACUCAGAGAGGCAAUAGUCAAAAAAAAAAAAAGAGGGAUGAGGAGAAGACUGACCUGCCGCCGUCGUCUUUGGACGUAGUUUUGCCGGGUGCCGGAGCGGAAUUGGAGGCUUGAGCUGCAUCUCUGACGGGAUAUCCGGCAGGCGGUGGGGGAAUUAAGUAUGCAGGGGGUUGUGGUUGUGCCUGUGCUGCUGGGUAGGGAUAUGCCACUGCAUGCAACCAAAACAAAUAUCGCAUUCACAUAAACAACUAAUAGUAGUAGUAAGAAUCAUCAAACAGACCAAAACUUGCAGCUAGAAACGAGAUAAACCCAAGAAAAAAAAAGUGUUCGAGAAAUAGUGAUUGAUCUUUUUACAAAUAGUAUGUGUAUAUGAUGAUGAUGGAUGAAGCGCAAAAGUACCUGGAGCCUGUUUUUGGUUGUAGUUGCUCAUGAUGGAUGGAUGGAUAGAUGCUGUUGAAUGGAAUAGGGAUGGAAUUAGUUAACUUGAAGUGAAGUUUGAUGGGCAAGACAAUAGAAGAUACAAUACUCAUUUAUAUAUAAGAUUGGUCUGCAUUCCUAUAUCCAGACUUUUCUGGAAAUAUUUCCCCAGCAUAUGCUUAUGCACCCGUUUGGAUCGGUGGUAAUUCAUCGGAUUCCCCUCAAUCAUAGGGAUGAAAACAUCUUGAUUUUGAGAUCAUUUAGGAAAGCGAGUGAUUUUAAUAUUUUCACUAAGGGUCUGUUUAGUUGGAAGUAAAAUGUUUUUCUUGGGAAAAUAUUUUUCAUGGAAGUAAUUUUCCAUGAAAAUCAUUUCCUUUUCAUCAUUUUCAGGUGUUUGGUUAGUUUAUUGAAAAUAUUUUCUUACUUCAUUUUUCUGGUGUUUGUUUAACUUUUGAAAUAUUUUCACUUUUAUCUCUAUCUUUACUUUCUACACAUUAUAACUACAUACUUCUUCUCAUGCAAAAUAAGAAAAUUUAUCUCAUUGUUUAACUUUAAAAAAUCUUGGAGAAAUGUAUAUAUAUGAAUAAAAAAUAUCUCCUUAAGCAAUAAACAAAUUGCUGGCUAUUUAGUGUCAAAUAUCAAUCACAUGCAAUGCUUAUAGUGACAUAUAUCUUGCACUCUCACUGCUGAAAGUUUCUCUAGAAAAGAAUGUUCCUAUUAUACAUAAUUAAUUACUAGCAUAGGAUGAGCAGGAUAAGGUUUUUUUUUUUUUUUUUUUGAAUAUACUAGGGGGAGGGUUGGGUUGGAUUGGAUAGUACGGGGAGGGAGUGUAAGGAAGAGGUUUUGGGUUCAAGUCCUCCUGUUUACACUAAAAAAAAAAAAGAACAUAUUACAAGAUGUUUUCAGUAAGUUUGGAACAUACUACAGGCGGGAUGCAUGUAUUUCGGAAAACAACUUCAGUAAGUUUGGAAGGGAAGUUGUUUUCCAUAAGAUGAGUGAAAAUAUUUUACAUAAGAAAAUGUUUUCAGUAACUUUUGUGCAACCAAACACGGGAAAUUAGGAAAAUAUUUUCCUGGAAAACAUUUUCACCCGAAACAAACGGACCCUAAAUGGGUGACGUUUUCUUAUUCCUAUUAAUAAAUGAAAGUGUUGCAGUUUAGAUAACUCAAAUUAUGUUUGGGGAAAAAACGAAAGAAAAGGUUGAGAACCGGGUUAACCAAUCGAAUCAGAUCACUGGUUUAACCGAUUUUUGAUGGUUUUCUCGGGCCAGCCCGAGCUUGGCUCGUUCGGCGUUUGGCCGGAGAAAAAGCCCAAUGAGCCCGACUUUUUAGUGAGCCGGUUUGAGUUUGAACCUAAAAAUUAGGUUCGAAUUAAAUAUGAGUCGAGUUUGGGUCUCAUUAGAUUCAAACCCGAUAUAGGCCGGCCCUUUAAUUACCUAUAUAUGUAAUAUUUAUAUUUUGAUAUUAUGUAUAAUUAUAUAUCCAAAUAUAUUAUUACUAAAUACUAAAUAAAUACAAAUUACAAAACACAAAAAUACAUCUGAAAACUCUUCUACUAACUUUCUUGAGAGUCAGUAUUAGUAAUGCAUAACUGAAUAUCUAACAUUUCUUAUUGGUUGAGUAAAUUUUUGUGUUGGUGUAAUAUUGGUUGAUUUCUUUUUGGUCUAGAAACACAAAUCAUCAAACAUGUUUGGAUUCAAAUCACAAGGUUAUAAAGAAAUUCCAACCUUUGAAAAUGUAUUGCCUUAUGGCCACAUGCUUUAUUAUUAUUUUUCAUGUAUUUUGAACAAAUUAGAUAUAAAUAUUGUUGAAAAAUUUUUGGUUUAUAUACUAUUUAAAAACUAUUACUUGUUCAUGUUUAGUUUUAAUGUUGUAAUCUUGUAAAUGUUAAAUUAGUUUUAUAACUUAAUAGUUAUAUUAAUUAUAUUAAAAAAAUUAAGGAGUAAUAAGUGAGUUUGAGCUAAACCCGAAUAAGGCUCACAACCUGAAUAUUAUAUGAGUUGAGUAUGAGAUUCAUAUUUAUUAACUCGAAAUCCAUAACCCAAAGCCCGAAAAUGUUACAAAUUAAAUGAUGUGAACUCGAACUUAUGAAAGCUUGACUCAUUAGGUCCGAUUGACAGGUCUAACUGCAUAGGGGAGGGGGGGAAGACUUAAGGGGAAGGAAGGAGAAGGAGAAGGAGAAGGAGAGGGCAGGAAAAAAGAAGGUGGGUGGUGGAGUAGUCAAAAUAAGAUGCUUAAGAUGGCGGACUUAACAAGUAAGCAAACAACAUAACAAAAGGCGACGACCAAGACUAAGGCGACGACCAAGCUACCAAUCUACCAAGUUGCAGACUUUCUUAAGGUGACGACCAAGACGAAGGUUCCAAGUUCCAACUAUUUAAAAGAAUGAAAUUGCCAUCGAAUUUCCCCUAAGAAAGGGAUGGGGGGUGACAGGGAUAAUUUUUACCUUCCGUUAAAAAAAAAUGGGGUUAGGGAUCCCGUCAUACCCCGUCCCCAGCCAUAAUAUAUAUAUUAUAAUUACAUAUAUAACAUAUUUAAUAUUAUUAUUUAUACUAAUAAUUAUAUAUUUAUAUUAAAGUAAAUUAUUGAUUAGCUAUAUUAAUAUAUUUAUACUAAAUUAUUGACUAUAUUUUUAUUAAUUAUAUAUUUCUUAUUUACUAUAAACUUUUUUUCUGCCGGCACCCACAGGAAAAAUAGGGCGGGAUGGAGGUGGGAUAGGAGAAACGGGGGCGAGAGGAUGUUUAGGCAACGGAGCGGGGCACCCAGUCGUUGCAAUUCCUAUUUGUAGAUGCCAACUUGGUCUCGUCUAUAAACAAGUUCAGUUUCAACAAUUCAAAGAUGGAGGAAAUCAACGUUGUGAAAAAAGCUCAGCAAGAAUGGAUGGAGUUCAAGGAAGCUGAGGAACAAGAAGGCAGAAGAAGCAUUACUGAAACAACUCCUAAUCAGCAAAAUAGAAGCCGGAUACCACCAAUGGAGGGUAUGUAUAAGAUAAACACAGAUGCUGCAAUAUUCUCGCAAAUGAUCAGAACAGGAAAAGGUAUCAUUUCUAGGAACUGGAAAGGGGAGAUUCUGAAAGUCUGGGCAAUAAUAGAGGAAAAGAUAGGAGAACAAGACUAGAAGAGGCCCGGACAAUCAGAAUAGCUCUGCAACUAGGCAAAGAAAUAGGCUGGAGGAAGUUUGAGGUACAAUCAGACUGCAAAAGUGUGAUAGAUUGUAUCACAGCAAACAACUGCAAUGACUACAACAUUGCUGUGGUACUGGAGGAUAUUCAAGGGCUGAGGGAGUUUUUUGAUCGAUGCACUUUCUCCUUUGUCUAUAGAAUAGGCAAUGAGUUGUGUCAUAGGCUAGCGAAAUUUGCUUUGAAACUAGUUAAUGAUGUAAAAUGGGAAACAAACUUCCCAGGUUGGAUAAAAGAUCUAGCGCAAAAGGAUAGUGAGGGCAGCAUGCCCCUUUUGUAAGUAUAUACUUGUAAUAUCAAGUUUAAAUCAAUAUGAAAUGUUAUCGUUUUGACAAAAAAAAGAAUGGAAUAGCAUUGCCAGUUGGAACACGUCCAUUGUUUGACUUCUUAAGGGUAUGACUUAGUAAAGUAUGCUUCUAACCAAUCCUAAUUAUGUAUUUCUUAGAUUUUACAUUUUCAGGGAAUCCUAUGUGGUGCGUUACAUUUAAAUUUUCACUUAUAAUUACUUUCUGACUACAAACUUCUUUUUUAACUUUGGCCAGAAGUUUCACAGAUCAGUUCUUACUAUAAUUGUCAAUGGUAAUUGUACCAUAUAGCAUAGACAAUAGCACAAGAUAUUAGAAGAAUAAAUGUAGACAUUCACACAAUAAUAUAUAAAAACACAACAAAUUUUUGAACACAAAUUUCAAUGAGAGUAAAAGUUUAUUGUAUUUUUAUUACCAUUGUAUCAGUGUCUAUAUUUAUUGUUUUAGUACUUAUACAACAUCAUAUAGUUGUAAUUAAGUCCUUGAUUCAAGUUGUACCGGUCAAAACAAGAUUUUCUCUUUUUAGGUGGUAAAAGAUUCAACACGGGAUAUACCAUGAGCCUUUUCCCUUUAUCGUAUUAAAGGAAAGAAGAAGAGUAAAUUUUAUAUGAACUGUCAUUUUAUACACUAUCACGGUUGGAUGGAUGACGCAUAAGCAAAGUUUGAAUUUCAAAUUCAAAUUUUGCACAUAUGUCAUAUAUCUAAUGGUGAUAGUGUAUAUACUGAUAGUGUAUAUAAAAUUAAUCCAAAGAAGAAUAUGAUAUUUCAACGAGAAUAAUAAGAAAUAACUUAGCUGUUCUGCUAGAAGAAUUGUAGCUUCAACCUUUUUCUUUUACUUGGAUUUGACCAAUUGUUGGUACACUAGACAAGCUGAUUGGCCAUUUUUCUACUUCCUCAGCUAAGAAAUAAACUACAACCAUCUCAUAUUCUACUUUUUAAGAGGCAAAAAAACACUAAACCGCAUUGAAAGAAAAAGAGUGAUCUAGCUAAAGCUAUUUUAUAUUAGCCGAAAGUUGAAAAAAAAUUAAUUAAAUAAAAGAGGGGAUAUCAUAUGUUUAAUUGUAGACAAAUGAUUUGAAAGCUCAAAAAUGGGUUCCAGUUUCCUGUUGUGAAACCGCGUGGUCAAUUCUACAUUAAAGAAAUAGAAAAAAACAUCUAAGAACAAAAUAGACUCGAAAGUGGGAUGAAGUUGAAGAUUCUCCAUGGACUUAUGCCUAAAGGAAGACUUUAUUCAUGUGAUAGUAUCACAAGCCAUGACCAGGAAAGCUCCGUCCAGGCAACUGGCUACCAUGUGGCUUGACAGCUUAAAUUGGUCCUUAAUUUGUACAAAUUGCACCAAUUACUAAAAUGGAAAGGAUAGUAUAUGGGUUAAUUAGAAAAAUUAUGUUCACCUUUUCUCCCCCAAAUAUGCUAGUUAAAAACUUUAAGGGUUAAAUGCACCACACUCCCUGAACUUUACCCUUAGUUACACUUUGGCUCUCCGGGAACUCAUUAAAUAAGUAUGUUGCCUUCCUAUGAUAUUUUAAGACAAAAGUAUCCAUACAAUUUUAUUUUGUUUUUUUUUUGUUUAUUCACUCCCUUAUUUUUUUUCUUUUUCACGACCUUUUUUAUUUUUCCUUUUUAAAUAUUUUUUCACUUCUCUCAUAUCACUAUUUUGUUUACCAAGGAAUCAUCUGUGGGCCUGUGCCGUUCAAGAGAAAUUCAACCGAAUUGCAUUGGAAUCAGCCUUGCGCAAUUUUUAUAUGUCUUUGAUUCUAUUUUCCUUGACAUAUUUUGAUCCCCACUCCACUAGUCAGUGAGUUAUCUCAUUUGGAAGGAGAAAGAAUUUCGAACCAUACACAGAAAAGAGUAGAGUGAUAUGAAGGAACAGCCAAGAUUGACUAGAGCGAUUCAAAUCCAUAAUGUAGUGCUUAAUACCUAAUCGAAAUAGUCUAAACAAAAUAAAGCUAGUGUAAGGGCUUCUUCUAAAAGUGCAAACUCCUUUUGAAUCCAAACCCACUUAUGAAACUUAACUCAAUUAAAAGUCAUAAAUUUCAAAAAUGGUAAUUCGUUGUGAAAUUUUUAAACAUUUUUGUAGAUCCUUUUCCAAUUGAUUUGAGAAAAGUAUCCACAUGAUGAAAAUAUGCCACCAAAUUUUGUGUCAACUUGGACAUGUGAAACUCGAUAUUGGCCAACUGACCAUUCAUUUGGUGUUCUUAGAUUUAGUGGGUGCCUUUGUCUUGACCAAUUUUGAUGUGGGCAUACCAAGAGAAAAAGGAUCUGUGGUAGCAGUUUAAGAGGACCAGACGGAGACGGCUUGAAACGGCCGGCCAAUGGCCGCGGGCAGGUAGGAGAACGAUGGCUAUUGAAUCGGCAUUCGACAGAGACGGCAGAUGGCGCGACAAGGGGAACGAUGGCAUGACAUUUUGUCAUUUUAAUUGGGCAAGGGCGGUAAGUGUAAUUUCUAAAAUCUCAAGGGAUCUCAUUGAAAUUGUUAGAAAUUUCAAGGGAGGUUUUUGAAAUUAUUCCUUAAAUUAUACUAUUUAAAAACUAUUACUUGUUCAUGUUUAGUUUUAAUGUUGUAAUCUUGUAAAUGUUAAAUUAGUUUUACAACUUAAUAGUUAUAUUAAUUAUAUUAAGAAAAUUAAGGAGUUAUAAGUGAAUUUGGGCUAAACCCGAAUAAGGCUCACAACCUGAAUAUUAUAUGAGUUGAGUAUGAGAUUCAUAUUUAUUAACUCGAAACCCAUAAUCCAUAGCCCGAAGAUAUUACAAAUUAAAUGAUGUGAACUCGAACUUAUGAAAGCUUGACUCAUUAGGUCCAAUUGACAGGUUUAACUGCAUAGGAGAGGGGGGGAGGGAGAGACUUAAGGGGAAGGAAGGAGAAGGAGAAGACAGGAAGAAGGAA